AGAGAAAGACAGCAAGCAGUCUUCACUCAUUUCAUCCAACCAUUCCUUUCAAGAAAUGACUCAUCAGAUCCUGGCUGUGUCUCGUCUGUCAGAGGUAGUAAAGAGUGGCUACAGACCAACCUUGGCGGCUUCUCUGCUUUUGCAACCCUGCAGGAUUUGCAAGCCCUCAAUCCCAACUUCUCCAGUGCCGACACGUUGUCAGUGCUCACUCCUGCUCAGCUGGCACAGCUGACACUGAGCUCAGUGGACUCCAAUGACACAGACCAAAUCGACCGUGUGUUU